CCGACGGUGAGAGACGAAAGCUGGGGAGCAAACCGGAUUAGAUACCCGGGUAGUCCCAGCCGUAAACGAUGUGCGUUAGGUGUAUCGGUGACCACGAGUCACCGAGGUGCCGAAGAGAAAUCGUGAAACGUACCGCCUGGGAAGUACGGUCGCAAGGCUGAAACUUAAAGGAAUUGGCGGGGAGCACCACAACAGGUGGAGCCUGCGGUUUAAUCGGACUCAACGCCGGGAAACUCACCAGAUAAGACAGCUGAAUGAUAGUCGGGCUGAAGACUCUACUUGACUAGCUGAGAGGAGGUGCAUGGCCGUCGUCAGUUCGUACUGUGAAGCAUCCUGUUAAGUCAG
rnacentral:rRNA from 1 species